UACGUAGGGGGCAAGCGUUGUCCGGAAUCAUUGGGCGUAAAGAGCGUGUAGGCGGUUCGGAAAGUCUGGUGUGAAAACUUGAGGCUCAACCUCAAGCUGUCACUGGAUACUGUCGAACUUGAGUCCGGAAGAGGAGAGUGGAAUUCCUGGUGUAGCGGUGGAAUGCGCAGAUAUCAGGAGGAACACCAGCGGCGAAGGCGGCGCUCUGGGCCGGUACUGACACUGAGGAGCGAAAGCGUGGGUAGCAAACAGG
rnacentral:rRNA from 1 species